AAUCCUCAAAAGAGAAUCUUAACUUUUUCUCUUUUGGAAUUGGGGUGUGCUGGCCUUUUGUUUAGAAAGCCCAGCUCCCCUAAAAUACAUUAGCGAUGUGACAUCCGCAUGGCACCACGCUUCUCUGGCAUUGAUAGUCUUUUCAUGCCUGAGCGUGCUGUGCAGCUGUGGAAAGUUUCGCUCGCUCACAACUGAUGGGUUUCCCCAUCCUCAUGACCA
rnacentral:misc_RNA from 1 species